AAGACCUGUGAAAUACUAAUACACAUCCCUUGAAUGCAACUCAAGCACUUUAAUUAAGCUAAAGCCUC
rnacentral:tRNA from 1 species